GAGAGAGAGAGAGAGAGAGAGAGAGAGAGAGAGAGAGAGAGAGAGAAGAGAUUGUGAAAUCAUGAAAAUGGUUUGUUGUUGUCUGAAGGAAUAAACCUAUGCGACAAAAAAAUGUAUACAAUUCAACGGCGAUCUUCUUUUGCGUCGUCCCGGGGUAGCAGUUGGGGCUAAGGAAGGCUAAGCUGAUUGCUGCUGGCUGGUGACUUCCCUUAGAAGCUGGUGUUGGACUGGAGCAGCCAGCUUGGGCCAUGAGCCAGAAGUCCCUCUUCCCUCUGAGGACCAGAGCCAACAUGGAGGUUUAGACCAGACAGACGCUGAGCAAGUGUUCAGUGCUGUGGGUCCUCUGCCUGGGAAUGGAGUGGUGUCAGCUGCAGACUGGAUGACUGGGUCUUCAGCCCACCGUUAAUCCGUUACGGUAACACUGACGGCGAGAGACAUCCUAACCCCGGCGACCACAACAGAAUCUACCUCUUUUUCCUCAUCCGACUCUAUCUGGACUCUCUCCUGGUCCCCUCUACUGCCCCCUCCUUC